AAUACCUUUAGUUUCUUUUCUAAUUUCUAAGUAUUAUCAUUUUUAAGUUCUCUUCUAAUUUAUAUUUUUUGUGUGACCUCUUGACACUUCAACUCCUCCAAAUUCCUUUCUAAUUUUCUAAUUCCCUUCAAUUAUUAUUUUAUUCUCUUCCUCAUCUUCCACCUCAUUUGUCUCCCUCCUCUUCUGUUCUUUAUUUUAGUAUCUUCCUUUGUCUUUUUAAUCUCAUUUACAAAUUCAAACUCAUUUUAAUUUAUCCAUUUUUUCUAUUUCAUUUUCUUCUCAAGUUUUAUGAGUUCCAUUUUUUCUAUUGUAGUAGGAGAGGUAUAAACGGGCUGAAUUUAUUCACGCAUAUGUAAAACUUCUUAGAGAUAGGAGGAAAGGUGAAGAAUGGCGUGCAACAAAAAGCUUAAUGGAAGCAGCUACAGCAUUCAAAGAAUGAAAAUACUUGCAAUGAGCUUCAACAAGUUCAUAUCUUUUCUCCACAGCUAGUUUCAACUGACGUUUCCUCUCUCUACAGAUAGCUACAACUUCUUCUUCCUCUAGUUUAGAGGCAACACAGCCCAUGUUUUUCUCACUAACCCUUAUCUUUAGCAAAGUUUGUUUUUAUUAGAAGAAGAUAGAGAAAGAAAGAAAGGUUCUCGUGUUGUUGUUUUCUAUGACAAAAAAAUGAGGGAACUUUGAGAGAGAGAGAGAGAAGGAACAUUCAAGAGAGAGUUUAGGUGUUCAUUUCAAAUUCAUUUUGAUUUUGAUCUUAGGUAUUCAUUUCAAUUUGAUUUUGAUUUUGAUCUGGGUUCAUGA